AAAGUAAUAAGAAUGUGGGUGGAUAUGCAAGAAACAACUGAAUCCCUCCUUCCCUCCCUCUUUUUCUUCAAUAAAUAUUUAUUAGGCCUAAGCCAAGUCUCUUAAAAACCUUAUAGCAAAGGCUAUAGACACCUAAAAGAUAACAAAUUAAUUACCAUUGUAAUAUAUAAUGAGGGAGAACUUAGGGUACCUUGAGGAUGUAUUUUAGGGAGACUUAGCUAGUCUCAGAAACUAGGAAGGGCUUUCCUUGAGGAAUUCACAUGUAAUUGAAUUUGAAUGACGAGUAAGAGCUACUUGGAGAGGGGGCUUUCCCAGCAAAGAGAGUCUUGGCAGGGUCUGAAGCACAGGGGAGACUAGCAUUUUCCAGGAAUGGAAGGAGUAGAUGUGAGUAAAGACCAAGGAGGAAAAUUACAAGAUAAACCUUGGUGGGUGAACUAAGCCCCAAGGCAGCAGAGUCUUGAGGAGCUUUUGAGGGUGCAUGGUUUAGUCUAAGGGGAAAAAUGAGGGGAGAUAUUGAAGGAGUUGAAAGAAGAAAUGGGCCACACAGGUGUAGGUUUUUGAAAGAGGACUCUGACUGCAGUCUAGGAAAAGGAAAUAUAGUAAUGGGGAGAAGCCAGUUCAGAGACUUUUGUUAGAGAAGAAUAGAGAUUAUGGUGGUUUGGACUAAGUUUGUGGCAUUGGCGAGAAGAGAUGCAUGGAUUCGGGGCACAGGGUUCCCUGUAAUAGGAGUGUGUGAACAACCAGCACAGCUUAGGCUGAGAAUACAAGUUGGCAGUUUAAAAUGGCCAGCUUAUAUAUUACCUCUUACCUGGUACCUACCUAUCACUAACAACCUUGUGACGCCAUGUGCUAUUACUUCCACUCUACAGCUCAGGAAAAAGCUCAAAGCAAAUAAAACUUGGCUUGUGUUAGAAGCCUGGGUUUCUGGCUCUGAAUCCAUUUCCUUUUCCUUACACUGAAUUACCCUAAGUAGUGAUGACAAAAUUAAAAAAAAAAAAUCAUUUUGACUAACCAUCUACCUGGCCUUGGGCAAGUUACUCUCUGAUUCUGGAAAUAAUCUCUAAGGUCUCUUUGAGCUCAAAAAAUUAGAUGACUUUGUGAUUUUAUUCUGAUUGGGGAGAAGUCUAGUCUUAAUUAGCAAAAUGACUGAAUUAAAUACAAUUUUUAAAGAAUGCUGUUUUAUUACAUUCAGGUACAUACAAAGAAAACUAAUUCCCAACAAAGUAUUUUCAGGAAGAGGGUCUUGCUGACCUAGUUUUAUGGCCAGAUUAAAAAAAAAAAAAGCUAAAUUCUUUUUAAAUGGCAGUGGCAUCAUGUAUUUCCAGUUAAGUCACUAAAGUCCUAACACUGGCUCUUUUUUGUUACAUGUUAUACCAUCACCUCUAUAAAACUUUAUACCACUAGACAUUUGAGCUUAAUUCAAUAUACAUUUAUUGGGAGUCUAGUAUUCUUAAGAAAUAAUUUUCUAAAGUGUAAUAGACAAAAUAUGACCAAACUGUAAAGCAGAUUGGUUCAGAAAUAAGUUAGAGAAACCAGAGGAUGAGAGUGUAUCAUGGAAAUGGCCUGAAGUCUGAUACUAAAGACCAGGAUGAUUUAUAGGGGAAGGAAAAAGAUGAAGGAUACUCCCAUUGGGAAAAAUAAUGCAAAUAAAGGAACACAGAAAGGAUGUGCUGUUUUGGGGUUGUAGUAUGGACUCUAGCCUGAGUAGAGUUAAGGGCUGAUGUUGGAAAAUAUCAGCAAAGAAGCCUGGAGACUCCGGGUGAACUUUGGAUGCCAGGCCGAGCCAUUUGUACUUGAUCCUGAAAGAAAUAAAGAGCCAUUGAUUGGUUCAGGAAGGAAGUGACAUAAAGGAAAUGUUGCUUCUGGAAGACUAAUUUGAUGCGAAGAUGCCAUUUGCAUGCAUAAUACAGAGUCAAAUGCAAGCCUUGCCUCUGUUUACUGCAAAUUUCAAGCUACUUAGUUUUUUUUUUUCUGUAUAAAAUUGACAAAUACAUGAUGCAAGAACAUAACUUUUAAAGUAAGUCAGUUCACAUUGUGAGUGUGAAUAUCUCACAAUGUAAACCGGUUUGUAUUGUGUCAGUUAAUACUGUGAGUGUGAAUUGUGUCAUCUUCUGAAGACACACACACACAUGCACCGAUGUGUGUAUGUAUGCCCUGUAGGAUGACUUUGACAUAGGGAUCUAUGUUGUACUGAGGCAUGUAUGUUAUUAACAAGACAAUAAGGAUUUGUGUGUGUGAUGUAUAGUAUGAAAUAUAUGAUGAGUAGGUAGUGAGGAUAGCUUUUCCUAGAUUGCUGGGUUUCCGAUGUAGACCAUCUGUUUAGUUCUGUUCUUGUAUAAUAUAUGGUGAGAAAAUAUUGUUAAAUAAACCUUGGCAACACUGAAGGAACUUUGAAGUGCUUCCCAUUGCGUUCCAAAGCAAAGCUUGCUUUUUUACAUUCUUAGAAUGAGUGAAGCUACAGUUUUCCCUGAUAGGAUUUAAAGAUUCAUUUGUAUUUUUAAAAGUUUCUCAUUAUAGAUUAAUGUGUUCAUUGUAGAAAAAUGAAAAAAAACAGAAAGAACUGAAAAAAUGGAAGUUUAAUUAUAUGUUCAGUACUAGAGAAAUCUAGAUAACUUUUUUUUUGUUGUUGUAUACCAUUUCAGACUCCCUCCCACCCCCAGGCAUAAGUUAUAGAAUUAGGAUCAUGGUUUACAUAUACUUCGUGAUUUGCUCUUCUCUUUUAAUAGCAUGUUGUGAAAUGUCUUUCUCUAUUAUCGAAUAUUCACCUACAGCAUCUUUACUAAUGGUUGCAUAGUGUCCCAUGCCAUAAUGUAUUCAUUAGUGCCCCAUUGAGUAUGAUUUUUGGUGAGGGCUUUUAUUUUAAAAAUAGGGAGAAAUUACAUGAUACCAUCCACCAUUAAUUUGUUCUUGCUUCAUGACCUUAGUGGUUUAUAGCACCCUUAGGAAACUGACUAGCCUAUUAAUCCAGUGUUAUUUCAUCUUUCAGAAGGCAUGUUGAUUUUCCUCCUGUAUCUCAUGUUUGGUGGCUUGCUCAGUGCUACAUCCUUGUUAAUAGAUCCCAUGAUCUGUUCAUAAGUUCCUAUGUGUUCACAACAAGUUACACUUUACAAAGUGCUUUCUAUGUGCUCACUUGUUUGAGUGUUGAGUACCUGCAACGCGAGCAUUGCGUGCAAGAUACCUAGUUCAGUGCUUGACAACGUAAUGAAAGCUCUAAAAAUAUUAGUUGCUGCUGUAAUUUGACAGCGAUGGUCAUGUUAUCUCCUUGAAUUCUACUUUGAAUUAAAUUUUUUUUUUGGUUAGGGAUUAUUAUACCUCUUUUAAGAAUGAGGAAAUUGAGACUUUAGAAGGCUCAGUAACUUAAGUGCGAGCAUGAGUAGUACAGCAGUCUUCCUGCUGGCCCAGUGCUCUUUUCUCUCCCCUGCCCUUCCUCAAGUGGGGACAGAGCAUCAAUUGCUUUAUGCUUCUCACUGGGAUUUGGCUUCAUUAUGAAAAGGGAGCUUCACCUGACUCCCCUUUGAUGCCUGCUUGUGGGGAAAUCUCUCUGGCAAAUCUCAAAUGGUCUAGAGUGUGGCAGUUUAAAAGCAUAUCUACAUUGAUCUGCCAUCUCAAGGUCCCACCUUUGAGUUACUUUUAGAAUUUGUAGGUGGAUGCCAUCCAGCAAGGAUGACUCAUUUACAUUUGAUUUGCAAUUUGUUUGUAAAGAUCACAUCUCUAGCAUCCUUUGAUCUGAUUGUCCUUUUAAAAUAUGGAACAGGUGAAUGACCUUGAGAUAGACUGAGGCAAAAGAUAGUUCCUGGCUUUUACCUUGUUACCCUGAGGAUGCUUUCUCAUUCCUGUGGCCAGGUGGUUUGUGGAAUCCUUCUCAUCUCCUCCUGUUGCUACACUUAACAGAUUUACAUUAGGCUCUCUAGACUCUUGCAUGGGAUUCCUUGGUUUCUUUGUUUAGAUGCCUAUAAUUUCUAUGAAGUACCAUAUUUUGUGGCCUUCCUUGAUUUAAAAAUAUAUAUAUAUAUGUUUAUAUUUUUAUUUUUCCUCUGUCUUUUAUUUAUUUAUUUUAAUUUUGUCUUUUUUUUAGGGCCGCACCUGCGACAAAUGGAGGUUCCCAGGCUAGGGGUCUAAUUGGAGCUGUUGCUGCCAGCCUACACCACAGCAACAGCAGAUCUGAUCCGAGUCUGCAACCUACACCACAGCUCAUGGCAGUGCCGGAUCCUUAACCCACUGAGCUAGGUUGGGGAUGGAACCCGCAACCUCAUGGUUCCUAAUCAGAUUCAUUUCUGCUGCACCACGAUGGGAACUCCUCCUUUGUCUUUUAAUAUAUCUUAAACUUUAUUAGUUGGUAAUACAAGAUUUUUAAGCAUUUUUUUUUCUUUCUCCCUGCCAACCUUCCUCUCCUCUUUCUCUCCCUCCAUCCCUAAUUUCCUUCCUUCCUUACAUUUAAUCUUGGGCUUUAAAAUGUUUCUAAAGAGCUUUAAGAGAUCUGGUGGGUUAUUUUUAUCUGUAGGUUUUCUUUUCUAAUAAUGUCAUCUUUGUUCCUGUUUUCUUUAAAAAAUAACAUUGUGAUUGAUUUUUUUGGAUUUCCCUUACCACUAGGAUGUGGGGUUGAGUUUUGUUGGACAUGGCUUAGCCUCAGCUGAUUUCUGCAGCUACUUUGUAUAAAGAGUCCUGCUCCCCUACCCAGCUGACUUUCUUCCUAUUCAUUCUAGAACUACCUGUCCCAGGGAGCAGUUGGAUGGCCUAUUGAGCACACACACACACACCAUUUUAGAAAAUACUGUAUUUUUAUCCUACUCUGCAUUAAAUAAUCAAAAAGCCUCAUUGUUCACAUAGCCUUUUGGUUUUAGUUUUCCAUAUUAGUUUCAUUGUCAUAAUAAGGUGGAGUAUUAAAUCUCCCAGGUGCAACAGUUGAAUUAUUUAAGUAUAAAAUUUUUGUUUUUAACACUAGUGUACUUUCUCUCUCUCUCCCUCCCUUUUUUUUUGAGGGCCUCACCCAUGGCAUAUGGAAGUUCCCAGACUAAUCUGUGACCUAUAUCGCAGCUCACCACAAUGCAGCAUCCUUAACACACUGAGCAUGGCCAGGCAUUGAACCCACAUCCUUAUGGAUACUAGUCAGGUUUGUUACUGCUGAGCCACAAUGGAAACUCCAGUCUCUUAUUUCUCAUUUCAAGGGUUGUACCUGUUAGUUCCUCUUAAGCACUUAUGACAAUUUCAGGUUGUAUUCUCUACAUUCCUAUUGUGACUACUGAUGUAGCUACUGUUGUUUCUAGUUCUAAAUGAUUGCCACACACCCCUAUCUGGGCUCAUAGCAAUUAAUUCCCUACCUUUGGGCAAAGAGGUCUUUUACUAACCCUCAGGUCAGUAUAGUGUCAUGGAGAGGCAAAAUAUAAAGUUUCUAGCUUUGGCUCUAUCAUAUAUGUUUUUGUUCUGUUUUUUGUUUGUUUCAUUUUUGGCCUCACCUACAGCACAUAGAAGUUCUGAGGCCAGGGAUUGAAACUGAGCCUCAUCUGCGACCUAUAUCACAGCUAGUGAUAACACUGGAUCCUUAACCCACUGUGCCUAUCCUUUCCCACAGCGGGAACUCCCUAUCACAGGUGUUUUUGAGGAAAGUCAGUUAAUAUCAUUGGACUCAGUUCCGUCAUGUGUAGGGAUUGGAGGAAAAUAUAACUAGUUUUUUUCCAAUACUGUGUUUGUCUUUGCCUAUAUUCUUUCUAGAAUGCUUGUAUGGGUCACAAGCAAGGGAAAUUUUAAUUUAUAAUGCAUAGUAGAGUAAUUUCAAAGAGCUCACCACUUGGUAAGGUGGACUUAAUCAUGUCACUAAACAAUGGCAUCUAAAUCUUAUGAGAGCAAUGCAGUUAACCUAUAGGAAAACCCAGUCCUCUUGCCACUGAUUCCUACAUUGAUUUGAAUGAAAUACGAUGCAGUGUGUAAGGCUGUCCACACAGCC
rnacentral:lncRNA from 1 species